UACAGAGGGUGCGAGCGUUAAUCGGAAUUACUGGGCGUAAAGCGCGCGUAGGCGGCUUUGCAAGUCGGGUGUGAAAUCCCCAGGCUCAACCUGGGAACUGCAUUCGAGACUGCAUUGCUAGAGUAUGGGAGAGGGAAGUGGAAUUUCCGGUGUAGCGGUGAAAUGCGUAGAUAUCGGAAGGAACAUCAGUGGCGAAAGCGACUUCCUGGACCAAUACUGACGCUCAUGUGCGAAAGCGUGGGUAGCAAACAGG
rnacentral:rRNA from 1 species